GACGAACGCUGGCGGCGCGCCUAACACAUGCAAGUCGAACGAGCGAGAGAGAGCUUGCUUUCUCGAGCGAGUGGCGAACGGGUGAGUAACGCGUGAGGAACCUGCCUCAAAGAGGGGGACAACAGUUGGAAACGACUGCUAAUACCGCAUAAGCCCACGGGUCGGCAUCGACCAGAGGGAAAAGGAGCAAUCCGCUUUGAGAUGGCCUCGCGUCCGAUUAGCUAGUUGGUGAGGUAACGGCCCACCAAGGCGACGAUCGGUAGCCGGACUGAGAGGUUGAACGGCCACAUUGGGACUGAGACACGGCCCAGACUCCUACGGGAGGCAGCAGUGGGGAAUAUUGCACAAUGGGGGAAACCCUGAUGCAGCGACGCCGCGUGGAGGAAGAAGGUCUUCGGAUUGUAAACUCCUGUU
rnacentral:rRNA from 1 species